rnacentral:rRNA from 1 species
GACAGAGGGGGCAAGCGUUGUUCGGAAUUACUGGGCGUAAAGGGCGCGUAGGCGGCCUGCUAAGUCGAACGUGAAAUCCCUGGGCUCAACCCAGGAACUGCGUCCGAUACUGGUUGGCUUGAAUCCGGGAGAGGGACGUGGAAUUCCAGGUGUAGCGGUGAAAUGCGCAGAUAUCGGGAGGAACACCAAUGGCGAAGGCAGCUUGCUGGGACGGUACUGACGCUGAGGCGCGAAAGCGUGGGGAGCGAACAGG